rnacentral:lncRNA from 1 species
ACGUCAUUUUUUCAUUGCGAAGACGAAAUGCGCGGAACGUGAGCGGUCAUUUCGAGGGGCCGCACCUGGGGACGGAGCCCAAGCCCCCGCUCUGUUUGAAGAAUAGCCGCGUCUGUUUGCCACACUUCCGCGCCCUCGUUUUUUCGCCACCCUCCUCCUCUUCCUUCCCGCCGAGGGUGAUGAGAACUACAGGACUGAUUGCCUGAACUCCUGGGCCUUUCAUCCAAAACCCGAACCAAAGAGGGUUGAGGUCUUCUCAGGAGGCAGUUGGAAGGGGCAUGUUUGUUGGCAGUGUUUGAGGAAUUGUGGCAAGCAGAAGCGGUCACAGAACAACGGAUAGAAGCGAGUGUACUGCAGAAAGGGGGGAAAAUGGAUUCCAUAGACCACAAACGGGUGUCCGCGUUCGUCAGUCCCACCCUCUUCCUCGCUCGCUCUCUCCACACAACCGUGCAAAGGAGGCCCUGCCUGAGCUCACCCGGCAGGAGCCGCUUUUCCAUACAGGACGAAUCCUUUCGCUCCGGCUCCGAAGCUCCCCUGCCACUUGCUCAGGAAUCUAGUUACUCGCCAUGCCAGUCUCUCUCUUCUAACCGUCUUCUGUGGGGCUGUGUACAUUUAAAUAAUUUUAAGGCCUUAAUUCCUUCCUGUUGUGAACCUCUUGUAAUCAGAACCAAAAAUAUUUUUGUUCCUGUUUUUAAGUCACAGAGGGGAGUUCCUGUCGUGGUACAGUGGUUAACUAAUCUGACUAGGUACCAUGAGGUUUCGGGUUCGAUCCCUGGCCUCACUCAGUGGGUUAAGGAUCUGGUGUUGCCGUGA